CGUGAAAUUAUUUUUCGGAAUUCCUCACACCGUCAUAGAGUAGUUGAAAAACAAAAAGGGGUUCCGAAAGUACAAGUUGUUGCUGUGACUGACUCGAUGAUUGAGAGGGUCGUCUCGACGAAAGAUAGAGAAAUUUGGCCAUAGUUUAGAUUAGGAAUACGUCAACGUAAUAAUAGUGGACCAAAUGUUUCGUCCGUGAAGAAUGGCACUUUUUACCUCAUGAAAUUCACCACCAUGCAUAGCUACACUACGUAAACAAAGUUGUUGAUGUAGCGUGAUCGUGAUGUCCGAGUGCUGCGAGUUUCAAUACUGUUUAUGUAGUCAUUAAGAGUUUAAAGAAAGUUUCUUCUGAGAAGAGGAAUUCGAUGGAUGCAUUCAACGUGGACAACGAAAUCAUUAUUUCGUUUGCAUCAUCCUAAGGACCAGUGCAAGUUGAAAUGGGCUUCGAGCCAACAACUUCAACAGCAAUUUGCCAUGAAAAUCAGCAAGAAAGGUACUUCAUUUACAUUGAUGAUGUCAUACCCCCUGGACACCACAACUUUACAGGUUACAGAGAAAAUUCAAGAACUUCUGCAAAAUGUGGGAUUUGGAUAGAAUCAAUUAAUGUAUUUGUGAUCCCAGAGCAAUGGAUAUAUUGUGCAGCAUACUAAAGUGUGAAUUUAAUGGAAAACAAGUACAUGUACUCAUGUAUUACAUGUCUUUCUUAAAGACAAUAAUAUUGCAUAAAUAUAGAGGAAG